GUGUCAGCCGCCGCGGUAAUACGAAGGGGGCUAGCGUUGUUCGGAAUUAUUGGGCGUAAAGAGCUCGUAGGCGGCUUGUCGCGUCUGCUGUGAAAUCCCGAGGCUCAACCUCGGGCCUGCAGUGGGUACGGGCAGGCUAGAGUGCGGUAGGGGAGAUUGGAAUUCCUGGUGUAGCGGUGGAAUGCGCAGAUAUCAGGAGGAACACCGAUGGCGAAGGCAGAUCUCUGGGCCGUAACUGACGCUGAGGAGCGAAAGCAUGGGGAGCGAACAGGAUUAGAUACCCUGGUAGUCCAUGCCGUAAACGUUGGGAACUAGAUGUAGGGCCUGUUCCACGGGUUCUGUGUCGGAGCUAACGCAUUAAGUUCCCCGCCUGGGGAGUACGGCCGCAAGGCUAAAACUCAAAUAAAUUGGCGG
rnacentral:rRNA from 1 species